AUCUACCCCGCGAUAGCAAACUCCGAAUACCGCAAAGUGAUAUACGGCAGACAGACAUCGGGUGCUAACGUCCGGUGUCAAGAGGGAAACAACCCAGACCGCCAGCUAAGGUCCCAAAUGCAUGGCUAAGUGGCAAACGAGGUGGGAAGGCAUAGACAGCUAGGAGGUUGGCUUAGAAGCAGCCACCCUUUAAAGAAAGCGUAAUAGCUCACUAGUCGAGUCGUCCUGCGCGGAAGAUGUAACGGGGCUCAAGCCAUGAACCGAAGCUGCGGAUGUGUCUUUGACACGUGGUAGGGGAGCGUUCCGUAAGCCUGUGAAGGUGUCUCGUAAGGGAUGCUGGAGGUAUCGGAAGUGCGAAUGCUGACAU
rnacentral:rRNA from 1 species